rnacentral:ncRNA from 1 species
AUCCUAUCAAGAGUCAGGGAGGGACUAGACCCCGUGAGCUGACACCAACUACCGUAACGGUGAUGUGGUAAUUUCUAGCAGAUAGGCG